UCAGGCGAACAUUGACAUCGAAGUGAUACCCUAUGAUAUCAAGAAAAAUCCUAUGGAACAAAGAAGCAGAUAAUGAUCACACAAGUGCAACAAAGCGCACCAGGACCUGAUCAUCAAAUGUUAUGGUGUAGAUCUAAUCAGGAACAGGACACCUAAGUUGAACUCUGGCAAGGUUGUCCCAUGCAGAAGGUUUGAUUCCCAGGCUUCUUUUGUACAAGUCCCUUGUCCACCCUCAUCUUGAGAACUGUUCCGGUGUCUGGGAUCCCUACAACAUCUCAGAUGUCCAGGACGCUACUUCACAAUGGGGACCACAAGUGAACCAGCAGUUUGACUGAGAUGAUCAGCACCUUUAGUUGCCUACUAUAUCUACAACUACAAAGCACUCUGCAAGAAGACUGGGAAUGGUGCACAAGAUAGUCAAUGGUCUCCCCGCUCUCCCUUGAAAAUUUU
rnacentral:lncRNA from 1 species